GAUGAACGCUGGCGGCGUGCCUAAUACAUGCAAGUAGAACGCUGAAGGAAGGAGCUUGCUCUUUCCGGAUGAGUUGCGAACGGGUGAGUAACGCGUAGGUAACCUGCCUGGUAGCGGGGGAUAACUAUUGGAAACGAUAGCUAAUACCGCAUAACAGCAGAUGUUGCAUGAUAUCUACUUAAAAGGUGCAAUUGCACCACUACCAGAUGGACCUGCGUUGUAUUAGCUAGUUGGUGAGGUAACGGCUCACCAAGGCGACGAAACGUAGCCGACCUGAGAGGGUGGGCAGCCACACUGGGAGGGAGACACGGCCCAGACUCCUACGGGAGGCAGCAGUAGGGCAUCGUCGGGAAUGGGCGGAAGACUGACCGAGCAGCGCCGCGUGAGUGAAGAAGGUUUUCGGGUCGGAAAGCACUGUUGUAAGAGAAGAACGAGUGUGCGAGUGGAAAGUUCACACUGUGACGGUAUCUGACAAGAAAGGAACGGCUAACUACGUG
rnacentral:rRNA from 1 species